GCCUGUUGUACUUUAACUAAACUUCUGACAGCUUAUCCUCUGUUGGUUUAAAAAAAGAAGGCAUAGUUUAUUGCCUGCCUCUCUCUGUCUCUCUCUGUCUCUCUCUCUCUCUCUCGUGCGCAUGCACAGUUAUAGAAUAUUAGUAUUUUUAAGUGAAGUAAAACAGCCUAUUUUAGAGAUGUGUGAAGGGUAAGUUUGAAUGUGUUGUUAAUUUAAUGUGUUGUCAGUGUAAAUAGUCUAGACAUGAAAAGGAAUAAUUUGAUAAAAACAUCCAUGUUUUAGUAUUCUAAUUUUUUAAAUAAUGAUGAAGUAUUAUUAUUGGAAUAGAACCAUGUUUUCUCCUUCUCUGCCACUUUUUAAAAAUUACAGAACAUUCACAAUUUGAAAGAAACCACCACAAAACUGCAGUCAUCUUAUCUAUAUCCCCUAAGCAAAGUGCUUUUCCCGCUAAUUUAUCUGAAGAAUAUCUCCUUGGUCAGUAUUAUAAAACAUGUUAUGAUUUUCUUACACUUGUUUAUUAAUCAUUUUGCAUGUCAUGCUUUGUCAUCAGGGAAGGAAAACCACGUUCAAUUUUUCUUUCUUUUUUUUUUUUCCCUCUCAUGCUCUAAGAUUGGAAACCUAAAUAACAAAGGGAUUCAAAUCUUGCUUGAAAUACAGACACGUUAUUCUCAGCAAGAGAAAUCUUAAAUUUACAUUUCAUUUUCUUGUGCAAAAAUCCUCUUAAUUCAUUCUUGGAAACACACACACAUUUUACAGAUAUGACCUGUAAAUUUUUCCUUUGACUUUUGGGAGUGUUUGGCCAUAGUUCCCAGAUUUUGCCAACAAUUUUAAAAGGACUGCUUUAACGAUCUAAUUAUUACAAUUUGGUAAUUAGCUAGAGUAGCAUUUCAAAGUGUUAUUGAUAUGACUUGCCCGGGUUAACCAGUAUUUUAGAAAACAGACUAGAGUCGUAUAGAUACUGAUAUUGUUCUUGUCUUCACGUUUAUACUUUUACUUUGGACCCCUGAGACACACAGCGUUUGUGGUUCUGCCACAAUCUAGAAUUCUCAAACAUCCCUGAUGGCUAAACUAUAAUAAUCUUUGGAGAAAUCUCCCCUCAAGUUCCUGUGUUUGCAGUCAUUAACAAAAAAGAAAGAAAAAUGUUAAAGGUACCGAGAAAAGUCCAGUGCUUGCAGCUGGUUUCAGCAAUUUCAACUUGCGCAAGACCCGUGUUUGUGAAAGCAAGUCAAGAAUCUUUGAACAGGAUGUAAUCAACCUCCGAUCUGCUGAGAAACACUGCAAAAAUGACUCGCCCUGCCAAAAAUAAUAAUGUCGUCUACAAACAGCUCUUCCAUGUCUAAGGAAGAACUCGCCACACGUGUGAGUUGAUGCUGGCAUCAGAGGAGCAAGCAAGGAAAAGGGCAAAUCCUAGCAAACCCAGCCUAAAAUGCCCCGUAUCAGAACCCACGGGAAGCUGUGGCCCAUUCCAAAUGUGCUGGCAAUAUCCAGGAAGAUUCGUAUCCGCAAAAAUCCAAACGAUGUUUCAUUGAGCUAUGGGCAGAGCUUGAAGAGAUGAGCUAAAACAAAGAUACAGGUAAAUGGAAAUUGCAGCUCUUCAACCACAGCAUUAGUCAUUGUGAUUUGUUUUUAACUUGUUGCGGCAUCAAAUAAGACUGAAACAGCGGGAAAUGGGAAAUGACAGCAACCUGAUCCGGAGCAAUCAAGAAGGGAAGGUUUAUUUUGAAUGAGAGGUGUUGUCCGACUGUGAGACUGAGUGAUUGCCGCUGAGAGUAAACGCAAACACAAUCACUAGUGGCUCCAGGUACGAAGUUAUCGGGAAGCUGUCUGGUUUCGCGUCUUUCUCGGCUGCCACGGUCACAUUACAUCCGUAGAUUGCAAUACUGUCUGUGGAGGAGGAAAAGUUUCUUCAGUUUAUUCUUAUUCUUAAUGACAGCUUCUGGGCUGUCAUGAUUUGAAAUUACAAUGAGAAAAAGGCUCCAUCAGAAAAAAGGAAACAACAUAUUCCGAAGCCAGAUUGUGUAUGGGACAGGUGAGGAUGCCUCAUCGUUAAAUGGUCUUGGAUAUGCAUUGCCUCUCCGGCCUGCCAUUACUUUUUAUAUUGGUUGUGCUGUGUUUUCUGGACUUGUAUAGCUAUGGGCAAAGUCAUUUCGUUCCUCCCGGUCCCUAACAAUGUUAUUAUUUUAUUGAUAGAGAUCAAAGGAGCUGAUCAAUAAACAUGUGCUGUGAAAUAA